AACUAGGUGUAUUCUAUGCUUAGCUUUUUCUGCUCAAUGAAUAUUUAAAUAGCCGCAGUACCCUGACUGUGCAAAGGUAGCAUAAUCAGUUGGCUCAUAAUUGGAGUCUUGUAUGAACGAUCGCAUGGGUAGAACCUGUCUCUAGGUGAUAAAUAGAACUUUUUGAGUAAGUGAAAAUACUUACUAGUAUUUUAAAAGACGAGAAGACCCUAGAAAUUUUUCACUAAGGGCGUAUAGUAGCGUUUUCGUGUUUUGCUGGGGCGGCAGAGUAACACUUAGUAACUUACUCUAUAUAUUAGACUUAUUUACGGAUAAACUAUAAUUACUCUAGGGAUAACAGCGUAAUUCUAUUGAGUUUGCGACCUCGAUGUUGGACUAGGGAGGAGAAUAUGCAGAAGGUAUUUUCUCACGUUCUGUUCGAACGAUGUCCCCUACAUG
rnacentral:rRNA from 1 species